rnacentral:rRNA from 1 species
AUACGGAGGGUGCAAGCGUUACUCGGAAUCACUGGGCGUAAAGCGCGCGCAGGCGGUCUUUUAAGUUGGAUGUGAAAGCCUACGGCUCAACCGUAGAACUGCAUCCAAAACUAUUAGACUAGAGUGUGGGAGAGGAAGAUGGAAUUAGUUGUGUAGGGGUAAGAUCCGUAGAGAUAACUAGGAAUACCAAAAGCGAAGGCAAUCUUCUGGAACACUACUGACGCUGAGGCGCGAAAGCGUGGGGAGCAAACAGGAUUAGAAACCCUAGUAGUCC